AGUGAACGCUGGCGGUAGGCCUAACACAUGCAAGUCGAACGGCAGCACAGUAAGAGCUUGCUCUUACGGGUGGCGAGUGGCGGACGGGUGAGGAAUACAUCGGAAUCUACUUUUUCGUGGGGGAUAACGUAGGGAAACUUACGCUAAUACCGCAUACGACCUACGGGUGAAAGCAGGGGAUCUUCGGACCUUGCGCGAUUGAAUGAGCCGAUCUCGGAUUAGCUAGUUGGCGGGGUAAAGGCCCACCAAGGCGACGAUCCGUAGCUGGUCUGGGAGGAUGAUCAGCCACACUGGAACUGAGACACGGUCCAGACUCCUACGGGAGGCAGCAGUGGGGAAUAUUGGACAAUGGGCGCAAGCCUGAUCCAGCCAUACCGCGUGGGUGAAGAAGGCCUUCGGGUUGUAAAGCCCUUUUUUUGGGAAAGAAAAGCAGCAGGUUAAUACCCCGCUGUUCUGACGGUACCCAAAGAAUAAGCACCGGCUAACUUCGUG
rnacentral:rRNA from 1 species